GCAACCCUCAUUCAACCGAUAUCCAUAACUACAUCACAGUAAGGUUCACAUAGGAGGGGAAGGUUCAAACUCCUUCCCGAACCAAAGACUCCCUUCAUUCGUGAAGGUGUUCCACCAAGAACGACACAUGGAUGAGCUGCGUCUUCCUCCCUAAUUCGUUGGGAUUCAUGGACAGGACCUACUGUUCGACUGUAGGCUUGUUUGGCCAAAUGGAAGACUAUAUAUGGUGCGACUUCUGAGGCUUGCUAACGGCUACUACUUCUCCACCGGAUGGCCAGAGUUUAUACGUUCUAAUGGCAUCGUACAUGGUGACUACCUUACCUUCACCUUGGUAGAUGUUGGAACGUUCAAUGUUAAGCGGUAUGAUAUGGGCACCCACUGCCCCCGCAGGGAGACAUCGAUCUUGUUGAAGACGAUGACAAAGAAGGCAGCUACUCCCCCGACAUCGAUACUUCUGAUGAUUAUGAGCCAUCGGAGACGGAAUCUGAUUCAUCUAACAGAGAUGAGUACGAGGACGACACCGGUGCACUAAAUGUCAACGGCUAUCCCACUUUCGUGAUAUCACUCACCCAGAAAAACAUCAAUCGCACUCUUGAGAUUCCCCAUGGCUUUUGCAAAUGCCAUAUCCGAAUGGGACCGACUUUAAGCCCCCGUAUAUUUGUUGGCAGAAGGGGGGACAUGGGGGGUUACAUUCAACCACAACGCGUCGAAGAUAUGGGUGAAGCACGGGUGGGCUCGAUUCAAACACGAUCACAAUAUGAUGGAAGGAGUGCGAUGCCAUUUCAAGAUUGUUGAUGUAGACGAUGUCUAAUUUUAUGUGUGGUUUGAACAUGCUUAAGAGUGGUGCAAGUAUAUAUGUAGUUUUAGGCAGUAGUAAGCUUUUGAAUGAAUCUCCUAAUGUAAGCAUGGGUGCUACGUGGUGUGUGUAUUCCUAGUCGAUCAUGGCAAAUUUUCAAUUUCCCUUGUAAUGCUUGGUCAUUGGGUUGGUAUGACAUGUGUGUAAUGUUGCAUGACGUUUUGUAAGUGGUUUGUUAUGUGCACCAAAAUAUAUAUGAUAUUUGAAAUAUGUUAU